GACAGAGGCCUCGAGCGUUAGGCGGAAUCACUGGGCUUAAAGCGUGUGUAGGCGGAUCGUUAAGUACCUUGUGAAAUCCCACGGCUCAACCGUGGAACGGCUGGGUAUACUGGCGGUCUUGGGCCAUUCAGGGGCGACUGGAACAAGCGGUGGAGCGGUGAAAUGCGUAGAUAUCUGGAGGAAUACCGGUGGCGAAGGCGGCGUUCUGGACUGCAACUGACACUGAUGAACGAAAGCCAGGGGAGCAAACGGG
rnacentral:rRNA from 1 species